CUACGAGAGGCAGCAGUGGGGAAUAUUGCGCAAUGGGGGCAACCCUGACGCAGCCAUGCCGCGUGUGUGAAGAAGGCCUUCGGGUUGUAAAGCACUUUCACUUGGGAAGAAAAGCUCACCGUUAAUAGCGGUGAGCCCUGACAUUACCUUGAGAAGAAGCACCGGCUAACUCCGUGCCAGCAGCCGCGGUAAUACGGAGGGUGCGAGCGUUAAUCGGAAUUACUGGGCGUAAAGCGCGCGUAGGCGGUUUGUUAAGUCAGCUGUGAAAGCCCCGGGCUCAACCUGGGAACUGCAGUUGAUACUGGCCGACUAGAGUACGAGAGAGGGAGGUAGAAUUCCAUGUGUAGCGGUGAAAUGCGUAGAUAUAUGGAGGAAUACCGGUGGCGAAGGCGGCCUCCUGGCUCGAUACUGACGCUGAGGUGCGAAAGCGUGGGGAUCAAACAGGAUUAGAUACCCCUGUAC
rnacentral:rRNA from 1 species